GCCAGCGUGGCGGAGUCUGGUCGAACGCGGCAGAUUCGAGAUCUGCUGGCCCACACGCGGCCUCCUCGGUUCAAAUCCGAGCGCUGGCG
rfam:Candidatus Nanosalina sp. J07AB43 genomic scaffold scf_7180000030742, whole genome shotgun sequence.